UACGUAGGUGACCAGCGUUGUCCGGAUUUACUGGGCGUAAAGAGCGCGCAGGCGGUCGUUCAAGUCGAGUGUGAAAGCCCCCGGCUCAACUGGGGAGGGUCAUUCGAUACUGAUCGACUCGAAGGCAGGAGAGGGAAGCGGAAUUCCCGGUGUAGUGGUGAAAUGCGUAGAUAUCGGGAGGAACACCAGUGGCGAAGGCGGCUUCCUGGCCUGUUCUUGACGCUGAGGCGCGAAAGCUAGGGUAGCAAACGGG
rnacentral:rRNA from 1 species